rnacentral:rRNA from 1 species
UACGUAGGGAGCAAGCGUUGUUCGGAAUUAUUGGGCGUAAAGAGCGCGUAGGCGGUUCGGUAAGUCUGACGUGAAAUCCCGGAGCUUAACUCCGGAACUGCGUUGGAUACUGCCGGGCUUGAGUGUGGGAGAGGAGAGUGGAAUUCCCAGUGUAGAGGUGAAAUUCGUAGAUAUUGGGAGGAACACCCGUGGCGAAGGCGGCUCUCUGGACCACAACUGACGCUGAGGCGCGAAAGCUAGGGUAGCAAACGGG